ensembl:lincRNA
UGAGAAAUUAAGUUCUCCGCCUUCAUAAUGGUGCUACAAAGCUGUAGCAGCCCUUGGUUACUUUUUCAGAAGUAUUUCUUGGCUCUAGCCUGUCAGCGACACUACAGAUCACCUAGAGAUCACCAGAUGACCUCCUCUGGUCUUGACCUUUUUUCCCACCCUUGCCUUCCCUUGUCCUGCUGGGUUGAGGCCCAGGCUCUGCUCCUCCGGAGUGCUUUGAGUCCAUUCCACCUUUUCUCCUACUCCUGGCUCUUCUCUUUGUUUGAAUCCUUCCUUUUCUUUCCUCCAGGCCUGCUUGAAGCCAUUCAGGAAACCUUUGCUGAGAGCCUCUGUCAGAGCUCCUCCCGCAAACUCUGCUGGAAACAGGAUAUAACUCAUAGCCAGAAUAAUUUUUAA